CCCAGACUCCUACGGGAGGCAGCAGUGAGGAAUAUUGGUCAAUGGACGAGAGUCUGAACCAGCCAAGUAGCGUGAAGGAUGACUGCCCUAUGGGUUGUAAACUUCUUUUAUAAAGGAAUAAAACGAGGCACGUGUGCCUUUUUGCAUGUACUUUAUGAAUAAGCAUCGGCUAACUCCGUACCAGCAGCCGCGGUAAUACGGAGGAUGCGAGCGUUAUCCGGAUUUAUUGGGUUUAAAGGGUGCGUAGGCGGGCUUUUAAGUCAGCGGUAAAAAUUCGGGGCUCAACCCCGGGGCUGCCGUUGAAACCGGAGCGCUAGAAUUCCGAUGCCGUCGGAGGAAUGUGUGGUGUAGCGGUGAAAUGCAUAGAUAUCACACAGAACACCGAUUGCGAAGGCAUCUGACGAAUCGGAGAUUGACGCUGAUGCACGAAAGCGUGGGUAUCGAACAGGAUUAGAUACCCGAGUAA
rnacentral:rRNA from 1 species